rnacentral:rRNA from 1 species
AACGCGAAGAACCUUACCAGGUCUUGACAUCCUCUGACACUCCUAGAGAUAGGACGUUCCCUUCGGGGACAGAGUGACAGGUGGUGCAUGGUUGUCGUCAGCUCGUGUCGUGAGAUGUUGGGUUAAGUCCCGCAACGAGCGCAACCCUUGAUCUUAGUUGCCAGCAUUUAGUUGGGCACUCUAAGGUGACUGCCGGUGACAAACCGGAGGAAGGUGGGGAUGACGUCAAAUCAUCAUGCCCCUUAUGACCUGGGCUACACACGUGCUACAAUGGAUGGUACAAAGGGUAGCGAAGCCGCAAGGUGGAGCCAAUCCCAUAAAACCAUUCUCAGUUCGGAUUGUAGGCUGCAACUCGCCUACAUGAAGCUGGAAUCGCUAGUAAUCGCGGAUCAGCAUGCCGCGGUGAAUACGUUCCCGGGUCUUGUACACACCG